UAUUUUAGCAGCAGUAUCUCAGCACUCAGUAGAAUAACGAAGAUGGAGAUGGCGAUCUCCUUAAUUUUGGUUGCCGCCAUAUUUACUGCUCUCUUCUCUCUGGCAGCUCUCGUUCCGCCCGUCGAAUCUCAGAUUCCGCCAUCGUCCGGCCAACAGAAUCAGAAUUCGGUGAUGUUCGAAUUGCAAGAAGCGAAGCUUAAAAUCGCUCGAUUAGAAUCCAUCCUUGACGAAAGCAUGCCGAGUUUAAAUGCUAAAAGCCAAUACAUCAGAGAAGCUGAGAAGAAAAUCGAGGACAUUAGUGUAGAAAUUGACAAUCUUACAACCGCUUUGUCCAAAUUGCAGCAUCACUCGUCAAGGAUUAAUACUCUAGAAGAAAAGGUACGACUGCUUUGGGAUGUGGCGAGAAAGAACAACUUUGAAAUUCAUACAUUGGAGUUCAAAGCACAAGAUGGUCAGAAAAGAUUAAAAGUUCUUGCGUCUCAAGUUGAAAAGAUGGCUGAAAUUGUGUCUGAACAAUGGAUUCAGAUACAACAACUUGAGCAAGCUGUUCAAAUGGCAGAGAUGAGAACACUGAAGGUCAAAAGGCAACUAAGGUCCAGUAAAUGUCCAUUUGUCAAGUUCAUCAAAAACGUUUUUGGCAACCACCUCGAAACGUUGAAGGGGAUUCUGCAUCCAUAUGGAUCAUACAGUAAGGCUGAUCCUAAUUCCUACUGGGAUCAAGCUUUGCAUCAUAUACAGAGGACCUUUGCAUCUGCAAGACAAUACCAUUAUGAGCUUAUAACUACACAGCUGCAGAAGUUUGUAAAGCAUGAAAUAGAAAGGAAUGAAUUUCCUGCGGCUUUAGCUAAUGAAGAAGUGGUGUUCUUAGUGGCCUCAGCUCUGAUCGUCUUUCCCAUUUUAAGUGUAUUCAUGCUUCUCUUCUCACACCUUAGCUAGGCGGAUACAAACAUAAUUUUUUUAGAAAGGUAACAGCAUAGGCGACACAGGCAUACUUAUUCAUGGAAAGAUUAUGGUGUAUUACGUCAAGAAUGAAGUUGAGGUAGUGUUUUGUCAGGUUUUAGUUAUAAGAAAGUUUUGAAGGUCGACAAUCUGUACGAGAUUGGGUAGGAUUCGCCUCAAAGCGAUGAUUGGUUUACCAAACAAUUCGCACAUGACAACCAAGAAUUAUUACACGAAAAGAAGCAAAUCAUGACCACGUGAAAUUUUUGAUCUCUUGUACACUUUGUAGAUAUUCACCUCAACAAAUGCCAUUUCUCUAUUUGAGGAAAUUCACCUUAUGGUUCUUCGUGGUAGUUGUUACACUACGGAUGUGGAAAGUGAUCAUAGCUUAAUUGUCAGCUAUGACAGGGAACAAAUUUUACACAUUGGAUACUCAGGACUGGAGGGCCAAUAUUGCAAUAAUCAUAACCUAUCAGGGGUCAAAUUGAAAUUUGGCCAAAAGCAGCACUAGCUUCUCCCCACAUUCCCAAAUCACAUCCAAGUUAGCCAGAUAACUCAGCUAAGGAUAACCAAUUGCUCUGAACUUACCAUCCACAGGAAAGCAAUGAUAACAAGAAGAUGGAAGACACAAGAUGGGAUCAAAGAAUCCAAGCAUUAACACACAUAAUAACCAAUCCCACAACUAAACCAUCCUUGGAUUCACAAAUCUUCAUUUCUAGCCAAGUCCCAUGUUACCUUAACUGGGACUAUCCACCAAUUCUGUGCACCAAAUAUUCCACUAACACUUUCCCUUCUGUGAAUCUGAGAUGGGCUCUUUCAGUUUUUCUGAAAAGGGUUUCAAGACUUGGGGCACCUGAAACUUCUUGGAGGUCCAAAUGCCCAUACCAACAACCCCCUCCAUUGAUACUGGCCAAGGGAUUAGAGGAAGCUCACUGGGGAGAUGAACAGAGGAGACUGUAUGUGAGGAAAAGGUUUAAAAGGAGACAUUUAGGAAGUGAUGUUCACCCUUUGAUUCCAUUUAUUGUGCCUAAUCUCUUGUUGUUCUCGCUUUUGCUUUGGAACCCAUUUCCAAUUGAUGGGACAGAUUCUUGAAUUUUGGAGCUUUUUUGUGAGGGGUUGGUUGUUCCUAGUUUUAUUUACUUUAGUCCUAAUUGCAAGUUUUUCUUUCUUUUUCCUGAUAAAGAUUUGGUAAAGAAAUUAUAUCAAGUUAGUAAAUUUGGAAGUAUUUGCAUAGAAGAAUUGCUUAUGUAUUGGAUAAAUGCUUCUCUUUUUUAACUUCAGCGAAGAUGUUCAAAGUUUCAUUA